GAUGAACGCUGGCGGCGUGCUUAACACAUGCAAGUCGAACGGGAAACCUUUUAUUGAAGCUUCGGCAGAUUUAGCUGGUUUCUAGUGGCGGACGGGUGAGUAACGCGUGGGUAACCUGCCUUAUGCAGGGGGAUAACAACCAGAAAUGGUUGCUAAUACCGCAUAAGCGCACAGGACCGCAUGGUCCGGUGUGAAAAACUCCGGUGGUAUAAGAUGGACCCGCGUUGGAUUAGCUAGUUGGCAGGGUAACGGCCUACCAAGGCGACGAUCCAUAGCCGGCCUGAGAGGGUGAACGGCCACAUUGGGACUGAGACACGGCCCAGACUCCUACGGGAGGCAGCAGUGGGGAAUAUUGCACAAUGGGGGAAACCCUGAUGCAGCGACGCCGCGUGAAGGAAGAAGUAUCUCGGUAUGUAAACUUCUAUCAGCAGGGAAGAUAGUGACGGUACCUGACUAAGAAGCCCCGGCUAACUACGUG
rnacentral:rRNA from 1 species